CGGUUGUCAAUAUCGGUGUUAAAGUAUCUGGGUAACAUUACACUAGUGUUUCACUGAAAACACUCCCAGCACUGAUAAACAGGAGUCAACGUUAUUCUGGUCAAUAGGUUAAAAGUGCUAGGUUAGGACAGGACUUGUUUCCUAGGUUAGUUGCAAUAUGACCAAUGAUAAGAGCAACUGGAAAUAAAGUUGAUCAGCACUUGAGAUCCGCUGGCCAAAUCAAUUAGAUCCGAGCUCUCAGCCUUUCCA
rnacentral:lncRNA from 1 species